AGAGUUUGAUCCUGGCUCAGGACGAACGCUGGCGGCGCGCCUAACACAUGCAAGUCGAACGAGAGAUGAGGAGCUUGCUCUUCAAAUCGAGUGGCGAACGGGUGAGUAACGCGUGAGGAACCUGCCUCAAAGAGGGGGACAACAGUUGGAAACGACUGCUAAUACCGCAUAAGCCCACGGCUCGGCAUCGAGCAGAGGGAAAAGGAGUGAUCCGCUUUGAGAUGGCCUCGCGUCCGAUUAGCUAGUUGGUGAGGUAACGGCCCACCAAGGCGACGAUCGGUAGCCGGACUGAGAGGUUGAACGGCCACAUUGGAACUGAGACACGGCCCAGACUCCUACGGGAGGCAGCAGUGGGGAAUAUUGCACAAUGGGGGAAACCCUGAUGCAGCGACGCCGCGUGGAGGAAGAAGGUCUUCGGAUUGUAAACUCCUGUUGUUGAGGAAGAUAAUGACGGUACUCAACAAGGAAGUGACGGCUAACUACGUGCCAGCAGCCGCGGUAAAACGUAGGUCACAAGCGUUGUCCGGAAUUACUGGGAGUAAAGGGAGCGCAGGCGGGAAGACAAGUUGGAAGUGAAAUCCAUGGGCUCAACCCAUGAACUGCUUUCAAAACUGUUUUUCUUGAGUAGUGCAGAGGUAGGCGGAAUUCCCGGUGUAGCGGUGGAAUGCGUAGAUAUCGGGAGGAACACCAGUGGCGAAGGCGGCCUACUGGGCACCAACUGACGCUGAGGCUCGAAAGUGUGGGUAGCAAACAGGAUUAGAUACCCUGGUAGUCCACACUGUAAACGAUGAUUACUAGGUGUUGGAGGAUUGACCCCUUCAGUGCCGCAG
rnacentral:rRNA from 1 species